rnacentral:tRNA from 1 species
CACCCCUAUAGCUCAAUUGGAUAGAGCGUGGCUACCGAAAGCUGAGGUUUCGGGUUCGAGUCCUGAUGGGGUUU